rnacentral:tRNA from 1 species
GCUCAGCUGGGAGAGCGCCUGCUUUGCACGCAGGAGGUCAGGAGUUCGAUCCUCCUUGGCUCCACCACUACAGCG